UAAGCCCUAUGGGGUCAGGGGCAACGCCGU
rnacentral:piRNA from 1 species